AUUACUUUGGCAGAAAAAUGCCAUAGAUUUAGAAUCUAUUCAUGCAAGAAGGUCUUGCAGGUAAUA
rnacentral:tRNA from 1 species